CGGAUGUCAUCUGCGAAAUAUUUUGAAUGCUGCUAAUAGGUGCAGUUAUUCAUGGUUUUUGGGAAUAUGAUUAGGUCUACGCCCUUCGUAGGGUGAAAAACUGGGGUUGCUAACCCUCCUACAAUUUUAUCGAUUACUUCUAAUUCACCCGCUACGUCUACAUACUGUGAAAAAACGGUGUAUGACUCUGCUGUACGUUCCAUAACAACUUCAAACAUCUUUAGCAAUGGAUUCGUUUUGGUUUUAAAAAUAAUUCCUUCUUUAUAUAAGAUUAUAAUAUCGGUGUGUUUUCUAUAAUCCACCUGUUCCUAUUGUUGUAAUAUUAUACUUUUUGUAUUUCGUACGAUGUCAUUGAUUUUUCGCUACCCUGGCCGCAGAAAAGUUCAAGGAUAAUGGUGCACGCGACUCCACGUUUUGGUUCGAAUAACAGGGUAAACUUUGGGUUUACUGGAAAGAGUUCGCUGCUGAGGACGAGAACAAAAAGCAUACGCGAAAUGUUCCACUUGAUAGGAAUAUCGUCAUCUCUCUGUAUUAUAUGGCGAAUAAGUUUCCAAUGGAGAUUAUGUUCGAAGAAAAACGACCUCAAGGGUUCAAAGACCUUUCGAUUCGGUCGCGGUAGCAAGGGACCGAAUGAGAUGCCAUAUAGUAAAAGUGGAAAUCAAACUUGUCUCCUAUAAUAUGCGAGUUGAACGACAAAUACCUAUCUCAUGUGUGAUGUGUGAGUAAAUCUCAUUCGUGUAGUAUCGUUUGGACGAUGAAAAACGACUGUUGCAGAACACCACACCCUUAUUUUGCAUGUUUCAUUCGGCAAAAUGAUUAUCCCGAACGUUGAGGGAAUAUGGUGCCCUCCGGUUGUGUGUUGCCACCCUUCACACUCGAGUAUUCUUUUAUGCAAACUAGAGAAGACAUUCGUUCUGCGGUUAUGGUGGUCUCUUUUCAGGACUAUAGAAAAAAGGAAACGAAAGAUAUGGAAAACUGAUUGUUUCACGGAACUGUUUUGGAACAACGUUUAAUACGUACCUACAUCACACAAGGAAUAGAAAAAUGCUAUGCAGGAGCAAUCAACAAUAUUGGAAUUUCGUCGAAUAAUAAUGAAAAAAGCGGAAAAGCACGACAUAUUGUAAUUUGGCCAAUACGCGAGGCAAUGAGACAUUCAGAUAAGUCAUGAAUUAGAUGGUAUUUGCAGUUUAAUCGUCGUCGUCAGCGUUUUCAUUACCGAAUGAAAACAGCUCAUCACCAAUCGAACGUAAACAGUGCAAAAAAGUCAUCGACGAUUAGAAAAACACAAGAAACAAAAUGAUAAACCUGAUUUUAAAGUGGUACGUGGUUAAUGGUCGCAGUGAUCGUAGUAUAUCGGAGACGUACGCGUUUUAAAUACGAUAUACUGUGAUAUUGUCCUGUCACAGCAGUAGUGUAAUUAAGAUAUACUGCUGUUUCGGGACAUAUACAUAGUUACGUUUAAAGCCACACACACCGCGGUUCGAGCAAACCCAUAGCAUACUUUGGAAAAUCUCUACACACCAGCCAAGCCAUUUAUAGUACAUGGUCGUUUAGCAAAACCCAUCCAAACCAUACCUACAGAUACCUCUAUUGGAAUUAUUUAUUUAUAAUUUUACAUAAACGAUCGUUUAUUAAUUUCGUUUAAUAGCGUUUUUGUUCUCUCGAUCACGUAUAAUAGUAUACCUAUCUAUGUAUAAACCGAUACUUUAUAAAAGCUGUACCCAAAAAUAUUAUGUACUUUUCGUACGGUUUUUUUUUUUAUUUUCAAUUUAUAUCAAUUUGUAUAUACCUACCUAAAUUUAACAAUCCCAAUUACACCGUUUUAUUAUACGUAUUUGUAUAAUCCGCACAAACAAAAGAUUAAUUCGAAUUUUAAAUUUAUCAGCGUAGAUUUUCAUUUUAUACAAAUUUUUCACGUCCUCUUGUAUUUUUACGUAUCAAACGCCCAAACGGAUAGAGUAGGUAUAAAGCGAAGAAAAUAAAAUCAAUUUAACGCGAA